UAAAGCUGUUUGGUAAAUCAAAUUUUGCCAUGGAAAGAAAGGUCUCCCUCGGUAACAAGAAAACAACGGAUUGACAUAUAAAGGGAGAAACGUUUCCUAUUGUGCCCUUCCCUACGUUCCUUUUUCACGCCUCUGCCCCCACCGAUCAGCUCAUUCUCCUCUUCUCAUCAGGUUCUCCAUCUCGUUUUCACCUUUUUUCCUUGAAAUCGAUUCUUGAAAUUAAUUCUUUGAUUCGAUGGACAUGAGUUUCCAUCACAAAAUGCCUCUUGCUGCUCUCUCAAAUACUUGAUACCUCUCAUAUUGUCGUUGGAGUCCAGACUUUCAGGUGACCAUAAUCACAAGGUUUUUCUUUUUUUCUUGCAUGUUUGUGGCCUAUGGUUCCAAAAAAAUUCAUUUUUUUGAAAAAGCAUUGUUUUCCUUGGGGGCCUGAAUGAGGUUACUGAAAAAGCUUUGAGAUUGUGAUGCUCUAAAGCUUUUUUUUGCUUUUAGUAUUGUAUAUUGGUGAACGUUGUCUGUAUAAAAUUGUUUUUAAACUCAUUUUUGCUCCAUAGGAAUUAGUUGAUCUAGACUAGUUCAUUCAUUUUUAUGUCUUUGUUGUUUUGUUUAUUUCAUAUUUCGCAUAAAUAAAAUGAUUUUCUUUUUCUAGACUUGUAGUUUACUCAUAAUAUUAUUUUGCUUUAUUUGGUUGAUUAGUUCUAUUCCUACCCAUUCACUUCAUCCUAGUGUGUUUGUUAGGGGUAGAAAUGGAAAAAUAGUUAAUUAAAUUGAGCUAAAUAUUGUUGGGAAAUCUUUGGUAGUGGAAGGGCAUUUUGGGUAAUUUAGGUUAAAUAUAUAUAUGUUAAUAGGUUUAGCUUAAUGAAGGGUAUAUCAUCUUUUUUUUUUGAAAUCUGCACUUGUAUCUUGUGAAUAAGAAUAAUAUUGUUGCUAUAUAUUAUUGAUAAGUAUAUAUUGUGUAUGUUGGACU